rnacentral:rRNA from 1 species
GAUGAACGCUGGCGGCGUGCCUAAUACAUGCAAGUCGAGCGAACAGACGAGGCGCUUGCUCCUCUGACGUUAGCGGCGGACGUGUGUGUAACACGUGUAUCACCUACCUAUCAUACUGGUAUCACUUCGGGACACCGGCGCUAAUACCGUAUAAUCUAUUGCUCCGCAUGGUUCAAUAGUGAAAGACGGUUUUGCUGUCACUUCUAGCUGCAUCCGCGCCGCAUUAGCUAGUUGUUACGUUUACGGCCUACCACGGCAACCAUGCGUAGCCGACCUGUGAGAGGGAUCGGCCACACUGGAGGUGAGACACGGACAAGACGACUAAGGGAGGCAGCAGUAGGGAAUGGUCCGCAGUGGGCGAAAGCAUGACGGAGCAACGCCGCGUGAGUGAUGAAGGUCUUCGGAGCGUAAAAAUCUGUUAUGAGGGAAGAACAAAUGUGGAAGGAACUAUGCACGUAUUGACGGUACCGAAUAAGAAAGCCACGGCUAACUACGUG